UACGUAGGUGGCGAGCGUUGUCCGGAUUUACUGGGCGUAAAGAGCGCGCAGGCGGUCGUUCAAGUCGCGUGUGAAAGCCCCCGGCUCAACUGGGGAGGGUCACGCGAUACUGAUCGACUCGAAGGCAGGAGAGGGUAGUGGAAUUCCCGGUGUAGUGGUGAAAUGCGUAGAUAUCAAGUGGAACACCAGUGGCGAAGGCGAGUCCCUGGAAAACUCCUGACACUGAGGCACGAAAGCUAGGGGAGCAAACAGG
rnacentral:rRNA from 1 species